ACAGUCUCACUUUGCUCGGAGAUCAAUUAUAUAACAAGUUUAUAUGCUCUAGCGUCAAUCACGACGUUAAUUCCAAAAUGAGAUUUACUUCCUCUCCUGAGUCGAAAGUCCCGUAUUGACACACAUCUGCUGUUUAGCGCCCUUCUUGUAAAUGAACGCCUCUCUCCAUCAGGGUCGGCAUGGUGAUGAGAGCAGGUGGGUUUUAGCAGUGGACAUGCUCCAGCUGCAGGGUUUGAAAUUAAACUGCAGGGUGCAGCUUGACCCCAAGCAAUUCGCUUGCUCCAGGCUGAGGACACCCCCACCAGCCACCCCCAGGAAAGGUGCUUGGUGAGGUAAGAACUGUGCUUUCGCUGCUUCUCUUCUUCCUACACUCAACCCUUCCUGAGUGGGGCGACCUUGGUAAGGCAGAAAAAGAGGCACUUUGCAGGAAACUAAUGCCCCCAGCUGUCCUGUAAGAGGCUGUUGAUGAUGGCAAAGCAAAAGUUUUGGGACAGCUGAGCAGGAUCCAGAGCGCCCAGGGUUGGGCUGUGAUGAGGCUCUUCAGCACCGAGCCAGGACUCCGUGAGAAGCAAGAGCCUGAAAAAACCCAGAGGAUCCCAGAGCGGAAAGUGGAGAAGGGCGGUGGUCAGAGACACAAGGGCCUCCCAGGCACUCAGCCAUGAGAGUUCAAUGUUGACCGGGAGCAAAAACACAGCCUUUCGCAUCUGGACCCAGCUCAAGACUUGUUGAGUCGACAGUAGAAACGCCAUUAUCAAGACUGAUCACCAUGAGAAGGCCACCAGAACAUCAGUAAAAAGUAUGUUCUUGCUCUUCAGAAAUAAAGAGCUCUAUAGGCGAGCUUAGCACUUAGCUGCAACACUGCAAGCUACAAGGUAAUGAAGCAACGGCUUAACAUUCUUACUGAACAUUAAUUUCAGCCUAAAUUCUUGCCCUGGCCAAACUACCAAUCAAGUGUGAGGCUACAACGAAGACACUUUCAGACGUUCAUGGACUCAAAAAUGUUACCUGUGUUCACCCCUGUCUUAAGAACCUGCCAGAAGUUGUUCUCAGCCAACAUGAGGAACUAAAUCAUGAAAAAACAGAGCUCUGGGGUUGAGGAAACAGCUUCCAACACAGACCAGAAAUACGGGGAACCCCAGGACGACAGCCAUUCGGCCCCCAGGGAAGACUGGAGCAGGAGGACAGGGGACUCCGAGAGGAACGUCUCCAGGAGGAAGAAAGGCUUGACUGGGUGCAAAUUGGUACUAAAAACUGUUUCAGAGAAUUACUGGGGGAUGUGAGAAAGUUUAGCCAGAAAUGCAAAGAAAACAAGAAAAUGGCACAAUUAGUAACAUUUCAAAGCGUUGUUCAAGAAAGGACGUAGGAACGUAGUACGUCCAACAGUGAAUAAUAAUAGUAUAGUUAUACAAUAAUGAAAACUGUAAUAUAACUCAAUUGAAAGAAGGAGAGAGUUGAAGGGAUGAAUAAAAGCAAAAACUUCUCAUCCACCAUAACAGGAAUUCAGUGGAGAAAAUGUCUCAAGUAGGCAGAUCAAAAGAGAGCCAUAGACACAUUAUUUAUGAACCUGGAGAAGCAGCUUUUAAAAAAUGGAAGAGGAUGUCUCUGGGGAAAGAGGACGAGUAGAGGAGGGAGAGAGGGAAGCUAGGGUUGCUCUUUUUCGUUGUAUGAGUUUCAGGACUGUGUGUCCUUCAUGGACGGAUGCCCAGAUGAGGAGGAAGACAU